rnacentral:rRNA from 1 species
GAUGAACGCUAGCGGCAGGCUUAAUACAUGCAAGUCGAGGGGCAGCACAGGUAGCAAUACUGGGUGGCGACCGGCAAACGGGUGCGGAACACGUACACAACUUACCCUAAGGUGGGGGAUAGCCCAGGGAAACUUGGAUUAAUACCCCAUAAUACAGGGGGCCCGCAGGGGUAUAUUGUUAAAGAUUUAUUGCCUUAAGAUGGGUGUGCGUCUGAUUAGGUAGUUGGUGAGGUAAAGGCUCACCAAGCCAACGAUCAGUAACUGGUGUGAGAGCACGACCAGUGACACGGGCACUGGGACACGGGCCCGACUCCUACGGGAGGCAGCAGUAAGGAAUAUUGGUCAAUGGACGGAAGUCUGAACCAGCCAUGCCGCGUGAAGGAUGAAGGUCCUCUGGAUUGUAAACUUCUUUUAUAGGGGGCGAAAAAGGGCCUUUUGAGGUCAACUGACGGUACCCUAUGAAUAAGCACCGGCUAACUCCGUGCCAGCAGCCGCGGUAACAC